ACAGCUUUCGCUAGGCUAUAGGAAAUGGCGUUUAUCUGAUUACUUCGUAACUCACUUCCUUAGGAAAAAUUCGACCAAGAGGAAGACCAGAUAAAAGACGGCAAGACGGCAUCAUAUAACAAUCUGGUUCUGCCUGGACAUGGAAAACAGCUGCUAAAGCAGAGUGGAGGGAGCUCUAGUGGCAAAGUGAGUGAUGUCUAGCAAGUGUCGGCGAGACGGGGUUUAAAAGGGUUGCUAUCGGGGUGCAUCCUUGAGCAAGACACGACAACCCUUGCUCCAAAACAAACAAAAAACAGGGAGCAGCACGAUGGAGACCUGCAAUAACAUGUUUGUGAAAUUCGUCUGUAUUGGUGUAAAUUGCGUACAUGUAUGAAUGUACGUACGUGUUCAUGCAAGUAUAUUAUAUUAUGUAUGUAUUUCUAGUCAUGUACAUUUACGUAUACAAUGUAUAUGUUUCCAAUUAUAACCCAAAUUUCCCGACGGAGAUUAAAGAAACGUACAAAG